UUUUUAUUAUUUUGAACUUAAACGUUUGCUCUAAAUUAGUAACAGUUAUGAUCUCUAAAAUUAAAAAAUUUGGCGGUAUUUUAGUCUUUUCAGAGGAACCUGUUCUAUAAUUGAUAGUCCACGAUUAAUUGUACUUAUCUUAAAAAUUUAUAUAUCGUCGUAGUUUGAAUAUUUUAAAAGAAUAAUAAUAUUCAAAAUUUUAUAUUUAAAAUAAAAUCAGAUCAAGGUGUAGUUUAUAGAUAAGAAGAAAUGGGUUACAAUAAUAUUAUUUUUGGAUAUAUUUAUGAAAUUAAUUAUUGAAAUUGGAUUUGAAAGUAAUAAAAUUUAUUUAUUUUUUAUGAUUUAAGCUCUAAAAUAUGUACAUAUUGCCCGUCGCUUUUGUUUUAAGAUGAAAUAAGUCGUAACAAAGUAGAUUUACUGGAAAGUGAAUCUAG
rnacentral:rRNA from 1 species